CUGAGAUACUUCCGGAGGACAGGGUUGGGACUGGUAAGGGGCCCACCUUGCACAGAGGUGUCCACAGACUGUGAACAGUCUGUGAUUUUCCUACCCAACGCCUUCGGCACGGAUUUCAACAUCCCCAGCCCAGCAGUCUCUCCACCCCCUGCCUAUGACAAUGUGGCAUAUAUACCCAAGGAGUCAUCGGAGUAGAAGACGCAACUCCUCUGCU
rnacentral:lncRNA from 1 species